AAUACAAAAACCUCUCAAUCAUAUUUUAUUUGAUCUCUAUGUCACAGCUCACAGGCCCAUGCACCUGCAUGCAAUAUCUGGAAUAUAUUCAUUUGUAUUGCGAAUGUAAAGCAUAUGUUUAGGUGGAAGAAGGUGUACAGUGACACCACCCACAAAAUUGCUGGGGAAGGCUUACUCAAAAAGGAGGUUAUAAAUAUUGCAACUGCUUCAUUUGCUGUAUCUGAUUGCCUCUAAUUCAAGCCAGGAGUCAAAAUGAUCAUCUUAUUUCUUUCCAUUAUUUUAAAAUGUUUUCUGUUUCAGGCUCCUCUCUCAGUGACAAAGUCCACCAGAGACCAGCUGACAUUUAUAUAAAUUCAACAGAUACAGCCAAAAUCUACUGUUCACACAGAAUAGACAGCUACGAUCAAAUCCUUUGGUACAAGCAGUUAAAGAACAAGCAGCUACAGUUCCUGGGACGCUUGUACAUAAGCAUGGCAAAUGUAGAGACCGGAGUGAACGUGUCAAUAACUGGGAGUGCAAAUAAAGACCAGACCUGCACAUUAACUGUUAAACAUCUCACCCUGAACAGUGGUGCCGUGUACUUCUGUGCUGCUACAUACCACAGUGCUACAUAUCACUCAUCCUCAAUACAAAAACCUUAUCAUAGUGGUUUCCAUGUCUGCAUGAAACUCCAUGACAAGCAAGCUUAAAGCCAGUUAUAUUGUUUCCUUUCAUAAGGUGGCAGUACAGCCCCACAGUAGCUGACUUGAUUGUAACAUUAAGAGGAGGUUUAUCCAAGUCCACCCAUUUCCUGUUUAUGUCUGUGUGCUGAUAGGCAGCUUGACUUGAAAGGAGGCUGGAAAUUACCAGUACAAAUGUUUAUGAACUGAAGGAAAAACCGACCAUAAGAACAACACUGCAGUCUCUUAUUUUUCCACUAACAUUUAGAAAACACAAAAUGUUUGUCUUAUUGCUAAGCACUACUUUUAACACCAUACUGGUUUCAGGCCUCUCUCCUAGCGACCGUGUCCACCAGGAACCAGCUGACAUGUACAAAACAUCUGAAGAUAUAGCCAAAAUUCAAUGUUUGCAGAGUAUCGACGACAACCACAACCGAAUCCUCUGGUACAAGCAAUCAAAUAACCAGCUGCAGCUCCUGGGGUACAUGUUAGCAAACAGAGGAUCUCCAGAGACCGGACUGAACGUGUCAAUAGAGGGGAGUGCAAAUAAAGACCAGACCUGCACAUUAACAAUUAAAAGACUCGACUUCAAUAGCAGUGCAGUGUAUUUCUGUGCAGCGAGUUACCACAGUGCUACAUAUCACUGAGUCACAAUACAAAAACCUUGCACUUGGCAGUUUCUCCCUUACAGCCCCUUGCACCUGUGUUCUAACCAACAUUGGUCUUCUGGUUAGAACGAAGCAUUGAAAUGGGAGGUCCUUAAUGUGAAGUAAAGCUUUUAAUUGCUACCCAUCAUUACACAGGCUUCUUACUUACAGUGU